GACUUCUCGACUCUGCUUCAGAGAUAAAUCAGAUCAGAGUAAGUCUGAAGGGUCUUUCCUUCCCAGCUUUCCUUCCUCUUCUGCCUACUUGUCCAUUUAUCCAUUCACCCAUUUUUCCGUUCAUGUGUCCAUCCAUCUAACUGUCUCUCCACCCAUCUUUAUAACCAAUCACAAAACCAUCUAACUGACAGACUCCACCCAACUACCCUACUACCUAUUCAGCUACCCAUCUACCUCUCGAUUAAUUUACCUUCACAAUGUCAGCAAAUAGAUUUUUAAGAUUCCAACACGUAAGAGGCACUGUAUUAGAUUCUAGAAUACCAGCCUGAUACAUGACCUGUGUCAUUUGAGUUACUGGAACAUGCUUUUAGCUCUGAUAUUCCAUAAAACAUGGACAUCCAGGACAGGGACCCUACCCUCAUUUAUUCAACAGAUCCAUAUGCACGGCAUAUGCUGAGUGCAUACUGUACCUGACAAUUUUCUAGACACUUGGGAUCCUGUGGUGAACAAGACAGACAAUCCUUGACCUCAUAGAGUUUAUAUUCUAAUACAGGAAACAGAUACUAAGUGAGUAAACAAAAAGGUAAAGAUUAUUAUAUGUGCUCUGUGUGCCAAGUAGGGGCUAGGCUCCCUCAGGGAGUUUCCAGUCUGGUUGCAAGUGAGACGGGUCUGGGAAAAGAUAAUAUUCCCAGGCUCUGUGCAUGUGUGAUGUGUUCCAAACCGGAAUGCACUUAAAUAGGAAGGGCCACAGGUGCCCAGAGGGGCAGCCAAGGAGGACUUCCCCAGGAAGGGAGGCCAGAGUUCAGCCUAGGAAGUCACAAUACCAGGAACCUACUAAAACAUGCAGACCAAGUGCCAUAUGCCCUGGAUCCAGUGUUGGCCUCCAUACCAACUUGCUGGGUAAAGCCAGUCACUUGCCCACACUGAGCCCCUGUCCUAGCACCACAAAAUGAAGGGGUUGACUAAAAAAGCUGUAAAGUCUUCUGGAUCAUGACUCUGACAUCUAUAACUUUAAUUAAAAGGGGAGACAUAUUUAUAUUAUGUUUUAUGGUGGCAUUCUUGAAUACACCAUUUUGAGUAAUAAUCCUUGUAACGUUCUUGUGAGGGAGGAGGUGCUACCUCCAUUUUGCAGGAUGAGAACACUGAGUUUUUUCCACUCUGUCAAGCCACCUUCAGUCUUUCCUUUCCUUUUGAAGAUUUGGGAAAAGCUUCACUGGGGAUGGUUGAAUGUGUGUGUGUCUGAAAGGGUAGGUAUUAGGGGUACCGGAGCCCCUCUUUGUGUAGUGCCUCAUCUAAGAUGGCAAAUGCUUAUUUUCAUUUCUGUUUGAAGAAAAAAAAUCAAAGAAUGGUUUUGAUGUCUUAAAUAGCUGGAACACUGGACCAGAAGGCAUUAUAAAUAACUGCUUUUCUAUCAUACAAACUCUUGGCAGCAGCCACUUGGUCUUUAAUGGCAGAACUGAGACUCAAACCCAGGGCUGUUUGAUGCCCUAAACCUCCUCCUCUUUCCCAUGUCUCCAUUUCAGGGCUCUCUAAACAGCCUAGGAGAGUGCCAGGGAGGAAGGAGAUUGGAAGAGAAGGGGGAAGGCUUUUAUUGCACCAUCUUUUCCAAUAUCCCCCAUAUGAGAAAAUUGGGGUAUGUGCGCUCUCUCUCUCUCUCUCUCUCUCUCUCUCUCUUUUUUAAAGAAGCUUCUUGGGCUCUCAGAGUCUUUUUGCAGUGGAAACAGCAAGGCUUUGGUCCAGCUAGGAAUGCUUUGUGAUUUAGCAGGUGCUGUGGAGGCAGAUUCUUUUGUUGAAGGGCUCUGUGUGCACUCACACUAUGCAAACGGGCCUAGCUCCAGCCUCCCUAUUAAUUACGAACAUUUAGAAAUGUUCCUGACUAUACCCAGAGUUCCCUCUCGUGAAACUCCACAGGUCAGAGGCCACACAUGUUUUGAUUUUCUUAUUUGAGGUAUUAUGUGUUCAAGGUAGAUUUAUGCUACAACCUUUGUUUAUUGACUUGUACUUUUCCCUGUGAACCUAAUGGAACAUGACAGACGAUAUUUACAAGGCACGUGUUUCCGAUUAAAUCAUGUGAGACAUUAAAGCCCGAUAAAUGAAAGCCCCUUUGAAAGGCCAGGUUCAGAGAGAAGGAGGCAGUCCCUGGUGGAGCCUUGACAGUGGAGUUCCCCCCUCAGCUGUGGCGGCAAGGAGAUGCGGAAGGUGGCCGCAGUCCCUUUGCUUGGAUGGGUCCUCUUCGUCCAUGCUUCCCAGCUGGGAGCCAGGGCUGCACGGGGGUCUGAAAACAUGGACACGAAGAGCCCCGCUUUCUCUUAACAGUCCACGGAAAAGAGAAGGAGAACAGUUUUUUUUUUAGAUCGUCAGCUGUGUGCCAGGCUCUGUCAUGUGAGUGCUUUCCUGCAGAGGCUAGCUGAACCUUUCGACAACCCUGAGGUUAUCACCUACUGAAGAGGAAUCAGAAUGGCACAGGUUAAGGAUGUUGACUGAGCCCCCAGGAUGGCUUGCAGGUCCCCGAUGGCUCUGCCAUCCAGUGUCUGUGACUCUGGGCAAAUUACUUAAUCUCACUAAACCUUGGUCCCUUCAUCUGUAAAAGGGAGACAGUGGAAGUGUCCAUUAUUAUCCGUGCUCCAUGGUACGUCAGCCAACAUUGCUAUCCUUACUAAAUGGAGGCACAGAGAGGCCGAGUAACCAGUAGCCCAGGUCACUGCCAGUAGGGAACCCAGGCCUUGGGUUCGAGAGCCUUUGCCACCACUGCUCAGGUGGUUCUGGUGGAGCCGAGUCAGGCACCCUGUGGCCCGGGAGGGCAGCUUGCCUGCCGACUCCUGCACGGGGACAUGGGUAUUCCCUCACCCUUCCCCAGACUUCCCCGGAGCAUUAAUGGGAAAGCUCGGUAGGCAGGAUUAGCCUAAUCGGGAGUCUUUCCAUGGAGGUCAAUUAAAGGAUUUGGGUAAAUGCAAAAAGUGGAAACAGCUUGGGAAGGCUUCCCUCACCUCUCCCCUCCCUUCUUUCCUUCUCCCUCCUUUACCCUCCCUCCUCCCUCCCUUCUUCUGCCCCCUAUUGUCUCAGGAGGGGCCUUCGGGAAACUGCUGACCCAGGGACUGAGCACAGCCUGAAGACUCACUUUCUUUUUCCUUAUCUGGACACCUGGUGGCAGGCGACUUGGGAACUAAUGAGAACAGAUUGGAUUUUUUUAUGCUUCACAUUUCUUUUUAGGACCUCUAAAUUAGCUCAACUGCUUUAUAGGAAUAGGGAUUGACAAAGAAGAGGAGGGAAGAUGCCGACCCCCUUCCACCUGGCAUAAUGGAAAAGCUUGCUGUUGGAAACACGGGCUUCCUUUCUACGUAAGAGUCUUUAUUGACCAUCACCUGCCAUUUCCUGAGAGAUAGGACAUCUGAUUUCCACCAACCUGAAGGGAGGGAAUCCCAAGAAAGCACUUGAAACACUGCAGACCAUACAAGACACAUCAAGAAGGUGGCCAUCUACAAGCCAGGAAGAGAGUGCUUGUGAAAUCAACCAUGUGUCAGCCUGAUCUUGGACUUCCAGCC